rnacentral:rRNA from 1 species
UACGUAGGGGCCUAGCGUUGUCCGGAAUUAUUGGGCGUAAAGAGCUCGUAGGUGGUUCGGCAAGUCGGAUGUGAAAUCUCCACGCUUAACGUGGAGGGGCCAUUCGAAACUGCUGUGACUUGAGUCCGGUAGGGGAGUGUGGAAUUCCCGGUGUAGCGGUGAAAUGCGCAGAUAUCGGGAGGAACACCAGUAGCGAAGGCGGCACUCUGGGCCGGUACUGACACUGAGGUGCGAAAGCGUGGGAAGCAAACAGG